AAUCAACGCUGGCGGCGUGCCUCAGACAUGCAAGUCGAACGCGAAAGUCCCCUUCGGGGGACAAGUAGAGUGGCGCACGGGUGAGUAACACGUAGGUAAUCUACCUUUGGAUGGGGAAUAACAACCGGAAACGGUUGCUAAUACCGCAUAAUGCAGCGGCACCUAAUGGUGACAGUUGUUAAAGCGGGGGAUCGUAAGACCUCGCGUCUAAAGAGGAGCCUGCGGCAGAUUAGCUAGUUGGUAAGGUAAUGGCUUACCAAGGCGAUGAUCUGUAGCCGGCCUGAGAGGGCGGUCGGCCACACUGACACUGACAUACGGGUCAGACUCCUACGGGAGGCAGCAGUCGGGAAUUUUGGGCAAUGGGCGAAAGCCUGACCCAGCAACGCCGCGUGAAGGAUGAAAUCCUUCGGGAUGUAAACUUCGCAAGAACGGGAAGAAUAAGUAAGAGCUAAAAUCUCUUAUGAUGACGGUACUGUUUGUAAGCUCCGGCUAACUCCGUGCCAGCAGCCGCGGUAAUACGGGGGGAGCAAGCGUUGUUCGGAUUUACUGGGCGUAAAGGGCGCGUAGGCGGCCACCGCAAGUCAGUUGUGAAAUCUCUGGGCUUAACCCAGAAAGGUCAACUGAUACUGCGGGGCUAGAGUGCAGAAGGGGCAACUGGAAUUCUCGGUGUAGCGGUGAAAUGCGUAG
rnacentral:rRNA from 1 species